GCCUGUCCGAGCGUCGUACAGCCAAUCCCUUCGGGGGUAUUGGGCCAUGCCGGUGACGGCAGGUCCUAAAUCCAGUGGCGGUAUUGCACGUACUCGAGCGUAGUAAUUGUCUCGCUUAGGGGAUCAUGUGAUGGCCGACCAUCAAACCUUCUACACGUUAGGUGGACCUCGGAUCAGGUAGGAAUACCCGCUGAACUCAA
rnacentral:misc_RNA from 1 species